UACGUAGGGGGCAAGCGUUGUCCGGAUUUAUUGGGCGUAAAGCGCUCGCAGGUGGUCCGAUGCGUCGUGCGUGAAAGACCCCGGCUCAACUGGGGAGGGUCGUGCGAUACGGUCGGACUGGAGGCCAGUAGGGGGAUGCGGAAUUCCGGGUGUAGUGGUGGAAUGCGUAGAGAUCCGGAGGAACACCGGUGGCGAAGGCGGCAUCCUGGACCAACACUGACGCUGAGUGAGCGAAAGCCAGGGGAGCAAACGGG
rnacentral:rRNA from 1 species